GAUGAACGCUGGCGGCGUGCCUAAUACAUGCAAGUCGAGCGAACGGACGAGAAGCUUGCUUCUCUGAUGUUAGCGGCGGACGGGUGAGUAACACGUGGAUAACCUACCUAUAAGACUGGGAUAACUUCGGGAAACCGGAGCUAAUACCGGAUAAUAUUUUGAACCGCAUGGUUCAAAAGUGAAAGACGGUCUUGCUGUCACUUAUAGAUGGAUCCGCGCUGCAUUAGCUAGUUGGUAAGGUAACGGCUUACCAAGGCAACGAUGCAUAGCCGACCUGAGAGGGUGAUCGGCCACACUGGAACUGAGACACGGUCCAGACUCCUACGGGAGGCAGCAGUAGGGAAUCUUCCGCAAUGGGCGAAAGCCUGACGGAGCAACGCCGCGUGAGUGAUGAAGGUCUUCGGAUCGUAAAACUCUGUUAUUAGGGAAGAACAUAUGUGUAAGUAACUGUGCACAUCUUGACGGUACCUAAUCAGAAAGCCACGGCUAACUACGUGCCAGCAGCCGCGGUAAUACGUAGGUGGCAAGCGUUAUCCGGAAUUAUUGGGCGUAAAGCGCGCGUAGGCGGUUUUUUAAGUCUGAUGUGAAAGCCCACGGCUCAACCGUGGAGGGUCAUUGGAAACUGGAAAACUUGAGUGCAGAAGAGGAAAGUGGAAUUCCAUGUGUAGCGGUGAAAUGCGCAGAGAUAUGGAGGAACACCAGUGGCGAAGGCGACUUUCUGGUCUGUAACUGACGCUGAUGUGCGAAAGCGUGGGGAUCAAACAGGAUUAGAUACCCUGGUAGUCCACGCCGUAAACGAUGAGUGCUAAGUGUUAGGGGGUUUCCGCCCCUUAGUGCUGCAGCUAACGCAUUAAGCACUCCGCCUGGGGAGUACGACCGCAAGGUUGAAACUCAAAGGAAUUGACGGGGACCCGCACAAGCGGUGGAGCAUGUGGUUUAAUUCGAAGCAACGCGAAGAACCUUACCAAAUCUUGACAUCCUUUGACAACUCUAGAGAUAGAGCCUUCCCCUUCGGGGGACAAAGUGACAGGUGGUGCAUGGUUGUCGUCAGCUCGUGUCGUGAGAUGUUGGGUUAAGUCCUGCAACGAGCGCAACCCUUAAGCUUAGUUGCCAUCAUUAAGUUGGGCACUCUAAGUUGACUGCCGGUGACAAACCGGAGGAAGGUGGGGAUGACGUCAAAUCAUCAUGCCCCUUAUGAUUUGGGCUACACACGUGCUACAAUGGACAAUACAAAGGGCAGCGAAACCGCGAGGUCAAGCAAAUCCCAUAAAGUUGUUCUCAGUUCGGAUUGUAGUCUGCAACUCGACUACAUGGAGCUGGAAUCGCUAGUAAUCGUAGAUCAGCAUGCUACGGUGAAUACGUUCCCGGGUCU
rnacentral:rRNA from 1 species